rnacentral:lncRNA from 1 species
GGCCGGGAGGCGAAGAGGCCGCCACGGCCCGCAACCCCACCCACCAUGGCCGCGCCGCGGGCCGCCGACAGGCCCCGCCGCCCUUCUGCGGAGACCGGGACGCGGAGCAGCGCAAGGCAGCGGUCUCCGCGCCCCGACCCCCGCACUCCCGACAUCAGAACAGGCCAGACUGCGAAACAAAAAAUCCCCUCACCGAAACGCGAAGCGGCUCCGGAACGCGAACGGCGCUCGAUCCGCCACCCGCCACCACCGCCUUCUUCUCCGCCUCCGACUCCUCCCCCGCCGAGCGCGCAGCGGCAGGCGGCGGCGGCGGAAGCAGAGGCGGCAGCGGCGUGCCCCGCCCCUCGCGCCGCGGUGGAGGCGGGGCGAGCACAGUGACCACCCAGACCAGCAACAUGGAAGUAUCAGCAGCAAGGAGCAGCAGUUGGGUUCUGGAGAACUCCACCAACAGAAGACCACUCCAAGCCCCCACAUCCAGAGACCAAGAUCAUCUCCAUAUCCAGCACAGAUCCCACGGUAAAUUUGGCUGGAAUCCAUAGCACAUUUCUGGGAUCUGACUUGGACACUACCACAGAACCAUGACACCAGAGGUAUUUUACUACUUUUAUUCCCCUUAUAUGUCUGACUGACUACCUUUUUCCUAUCAGGUUGGAUUUCAUCUUGUUUUGUUUUGUACUUUUUGUUUUGGGGUCUGUUUUUCUUCUUUUUUCUCCUUUUGUUCUGGUCUCCCUUUUUUUCUUUUCUUCUCUUCCUUUUUUCACUGUUUAGGUUUUUUACCUUUCUUUUUUGUUUUC